rnacentral:rRNA from 1 species
CCUACGGGGGGCAGCAGUGGGGGAUAUUGCACAAUGGGGGAAACCCUGAUGCAGCGACGCCGCGUGUGGGAAGACGGUCCUCUGGAUUGUAAACCACUGUCCCCAGGGACGAAGAUGACGGUACCUGGGGAGGAAGCUCCGGCUAACUACGUGCCAGCAGCCGCGGUAAUACGUAGGGAGCAAGCGUUGUCCGGAAUUACUGGGUGUAAAGGGAGCGUAGGCGGGAUGGCAAGUUGGGUGUUAAAUCUACGGGCUCAACUGGUAGUCGCACUCAAAACUGCUAUUCUUGAGUGAAGUAGAGGCAGGCGGAAUGCGUGGUGUAGCGGUGAAAUGCGUAGAUAUUAGGAGGAACACCAGUGGCGAAGGCGGCCUGCUGGGCUUUUACUGACGCUGAGGCUCGAAAGUGUGGGGAGCAAACAGGAUUAGAUACCCGUGUAGUC